GAUCGUGUGGCCUAAUGGAUAAGGCGUCGGACUUCUAUCAUUCCAGCCAUCCGAAAAUUGCGGGUUCGAGUCCCGCCACGAUUA
rnacentral:tRNA from 1 species